CGGAGGGUGCAAGCGUUAUCCGGAUUCACUGGGUUUAAAGGGAGCGCAGGCGGACCUGUAAGUCAGUGGUGAAAUACCUGAGCUUAACUCGGGAACUGCCAUUGAUACUAUCGGUCUUGAAUGUUGUUGAGGUUUGCGGAAUGGGUCAUGUAGCGGUGAAAUGCAUAGAUAUGACCCGGAACACCUAUUGCGAAGGCAGCAGGCUAAACAAAUAUUGACGCUGAGGCUCGAAAGCGUGGGGAUCAAACAGGAUUAGAUACCCUGGUAGUCCACGCCCUAAACUAUGAUUACUCGACAUACGCGAUACACUGUGUGUGUCUGAGCGAAAGCAAUUAAGUAAUCCACCUGGGAAGUACGACCGCAAGGUUG
rnacentral:rRNA from 1 species